CCUACGGGGGGCUGCAGUGAGGAAUAUUGGUCAAUGGACGAGAGUCUGAACCAGCCAAGUAGCGUGAAGGAUGACUGCCCUAUGGGUUGUAAACUUCUUUUAUAUGGGAAUAAAAUGUUCCACGUGUGGGAUUUUGUAUGUACCAUAUGAAUAAGGAUCGGCUAACUCCGUGCCAGCAGCCGCGGUAAUACGGAGGAUCCGAGCGUUAUCCGGAUUUAUUGGGUUUAAAGGGAGCGUAGGUGGAUUGUUAAGUCAGUUGUGAAAGUUUGCGGCUCAACCGUAAAAUUGCAGUUGAAACUGGCAGUCUUGAGUACAGUAGAGGUGGGCGGAAUUCGUGGUGUAGCGGUGAAAUGCGUAGAUAUCACGAAGAACUCCGAUUGCGAAGGCAGUUCACUGGACUGCAACUGACAGUGAGGCUCGAAAGUGUGGGUAUCAAACAGGAUUAGAUACCCGGGUAGUC
rnacentral:rRNA from 1 species